rnacentral:rRNA from 1 species
UACGUAGGUGACAAGCGUUGUCCGGAUUUACUGGGCGUAAAGAGCGCGCAGGCGGUCGUUCAAGUCGCGUGUGAAAGCCCCCCGGCUCAACUGGGGAGGGUCACGCGAUACUGAUCGACUCGAAGGCAGGAGAGGGAAGUGGAAUUCCCGGUGUAGUGGUGAAAUGCGUAGAUAUCGGGAGGAACACCAGUGGCGAAGGCGACUUCCUGGCCUGUUCUUGACGCUGAGGCGCGAAAGCUAGGGGAGCAAACGGGG